AUACGGAGGGUGCAAGCGUUGUUCGGAAUCACUGGGCGUAAAGGGCGCGCAGGCGGUUUGGUAAGUCAGAUGUGAAAGCCCACGGCUCAACCGUGGAAGUGCAUUUGAAACUGUCAGACUUGAGUACUAGAGGGGAAAGUGGAAUUCCCGGUGUAGAGGUGAAAUUCGUAGAUAUCGGGAGGAAUACCGGUGGCGAAGGCGACUUUCUGGCUAGAUACUGACGCUGAGGCGCGAAAGCGUGGGGAGCAAACAGGAUUAGAAACCCGAGUAGUCC
rnacentral:rRNA from 1 species